ensembl:snRNA U6 U6 spliceosomal RNA
GUGCUCAAUUCAGCAGCACGUAUACUAAAACUGAAAUGAUAUGGAGUUAAUUAGCAUGGCCCCUGCACAAGGAUGACAUGCAAAUUUGUGGAGUGUUCCAUAUUUUU